ensembl:snRNA U4 U4 spliceosomal RNA
AGCUUUGCACAGUGGCAGUAUUGUAGCCAAUGAGGUUUAUCUGAGAUGCAAUUAUUGCUAAUUGAAAACUUUUCCUAAAAUUCAGUUUCUUGGGUUGGAUAGAUGGCUCAGUGGUUAAAGCACUGACUGCUCUUGCAGAAGA